ACUAAUUUUAAAAUCAUUAAAUUUGCAUACAUAAGAGAUAAAUUUAUUAAAUUCAUAUUUUCGAAAAGCAAAUCGAGCGCUUUCUGGAACCAGGCAAAUGUGAAAGAUCAAGGAAACUUAUCGAUCGGUUCACAAUAUUGAACUGAAAGAACCAGCGAACUAGUUCAGGCAAUAAAGUUUUUAAAGUUUAAAAAAACGGUUAACCCGUAACAUGCAGCCCUCGGAACAGGUUCUUUAAUGCAGCCCUUAAAACAAGUCAGAUAAAAAUGUAUUAACAAAACUUAAACGACGCACAUGACAAUUGUCGCAUCCAUAGUUAGCCGUAAUUCAGCGAAA